GUGGGGAAUCUUCCGCAAUGGGCGAAAGCCUGACGGAGCAAUGCCGCGUGAGUGAAGAAGGCCUUCGGGUUGUAAAACUCUGUCCUAAGGGAAGAAAUUCUCUUAUGUGAAUAAUGUAAGAGAGUGACGGUACCUUAGGAGGAAGCCCCGGCUAACUACGUGCCAGCAGCCGCGGUAAUACGUAGGGGGCGAGCGUUGUCCGGAAUUACUGGGCGUAAAGCGCGCGUAGGCGGGCAUUUAAGUCAGAUGUGAAACCUCUGGGCUUAACCUAGAGCAUGCAUCUGAUACUGGAUGUCUUGAGUGUAGAAGAGGAGAGUGGAAUUCCUAGUGUAGCGGUGAAAUGCGUAGAUAUUAGGAGGAACACCAGUGGCGAAGGCGACUCUCUGGUCUAUAACUGACGCUGAGGCGCGAAAGCGUGGGGAGCAAACAGGAUUAGAAACCCUAGUAGUCC
rnacentral:rRNA from 1 species